rnacentral:rRNA from 1 species
CUACGGGUGGCUGCAGUGGGGAAUAUUGCACAAUGGGCGCAAGCCUGAUGCAGCCAUGCCGCGUGUAUGAAGAAGGCCUUCGGGUUGUAAAGUACUUUCAGCGGGGAGGAAGGGAGUAAAGUUAAUACCUUUGCUCAUUGACGCUACCCGCAGAAGAAGCACCGGCUAACUCCGUGCCAGCAGCCGCGGUAAUACGGAGGGUGCAAGCGUUAAUCGGAAUUACUGGGCGUAAAGCGCACGCAGGCGGUUUGUUAAGUCAGAUGUGAAAUCCCCGGGCUCAGCCUGGGAACUGCAGCUGAUACUGGCAAGCUCGAGUCUCGUAGAGGGGGGUAGAAUUCCAGGUGUAGCGGUGAAAUGCGUAGAGAUCUGGAGGAAUACCGGUGGCGAAGGCGGCCCCCUGGACGAAGACUGACGCUCAGGUGCGAAAGCGUGGGGAGCAAACAGGAUUAGAUACCCUUGUAGUC